rnacentral:rRNA from 1 species
GGAUGAACGCUAGCUACAGGCUUAACACAUGCAAGUCGAGGGGCAGCAUGGUCUUAGCUUGCUAAGGCCGAUGGCGACCGGCGCACGGGUGAGUAACACGUAUCCAACCUGCCGUCUACUCUUGGACAGCCUUCUGAAAGGAAGAUUAAUACAAGAUGGCAUCAUGAGUCCGCAUGUUCACAUGAUUAAAGGUAUUCCGGUAGACGAUGGGGAUGCGUUCCAUUAGAUAGUAGGCGGGGUAACGGCCCACCUAGUCUUCGAUGGAUAGGGGUUCUGAGAGGAAGGUCCCCCACAUUGGAACUGAGACACGGUCCAAACUCCUACGGGAGGCAGCAGUGAGGAAUAUUGGUCAAUGGGCGAGAGCCUGAACCAGCCAAGUAGCGUGAAGGAUGACUGCCUUAUGGGUUGUAAACUUCUUUUAUAAAGGAAUAAAGUCGGGUAUGGAUACCCGUUUGCAUGUACUUUAUGAAUAAGGAUCGGCUAACUCCGUGCCAGCAGCCGCGGUAAUACGGAGGAUCCGAGCGUUAUCCGGAUUUAUUGGGUUUAAAGGGAGCGUAGAUGGAUGUUUAAGUCAGUUGUGAAAGUUUGCGGCUCAACCGUAAAAUUGCAGUUGAUACUGGAUAUCUUGAGUGCAGUUGAGGCAGGCGGAAUUCGUGGUGUAGCGGUGAAAUGCUUAGAUAUCACGAAGAACUCCGAUUGCGAAGGCAGCCUGCUAAGCUGCAACUGACAUUGAGGCUCGAAAGUGUGGGUAUCAAACAGGAUUAGAUACCCUGGUAGUCCACACGGUAAACGAUGAAUACUCGCUGUUUGCGAUAUACGGCAAGCGGCCAAGCGAAAGCGUUAAGUAUUCCACCUGGGGAGUACGCCGGCAACGGUGAAACUCAAAGGAAUUGACGGGGGCCCGCACAAGCGGAGGAACAUGUGGUUUAAUUCGAUGAUACGCGAGGAACCUUACCCGGGCUUAAAUUGCAGAUGAAUUACGGUGAAAGCCGUAAGCCGCAAGGCAUCUGUGAAGGUGCUGCAUGGUUGUCGUCAGCUCGUGCCGUGAGGUGUCGGCUUAAGUGCCAUAACGAGCGCAACCCUUGUUGUCAGUUACUAACAGGUUCUGCUGAGGACUCUGACAAGACUGCCAUCGUAAGAUGUGAGGAAGGUGGGGAUGACGUCAAAUCAGCACGGCCCUUACGUCCGGGGCUACACACGUGUUACAAUGGGGGGUACAGAGGGCCGCUACCACGCGAGUGGAUGCCAAUCCCAAAAACCUCUCUCAGUUCGGACUGGAGUCUGCAACCCGACUCCACGAAGCUGGAUUCGCUAGUAAUCGCGCAUCAGCCACGGCGCGGUGAAUACGUUCCUGGGCCUUGUACACACCGCCCGUCAAGCCAUGGGAGCCGGGGGUACCUGAAGUGCGUAACCGCGAGGAGCGCCCUAGGGUA